AGGGAGAGAAUCAGAAGGCAGUAAAUUUGUUCUGGACACUUCCUUCAGUUUAAGAGUCCUGAUCAUAUGUCUGUUCUUCAUCAGCUUUCUGUAAGUCAGGAGAAAACAGAGGCAAUCUGUAAGCUCUCCCAUGAAUUAUUUCAAAAGCAUCUGCAUGCUUUGCUGGAACUAUUUCAACCCAUUUAGAAAAAGCAUCAAUCAUCAUCUAACAGUAUUUGUUAACUCAAAAGUUCAUAACAAAAAA